AACGAACGCUGGCGGCAUGCCUAACACAUGCAAGUCGAACGAGACCUUCGGGUCUAGUGGCGCACGGGUGCGUAACGCGUGGGAAUCUGCCCCUUGGUUCGGAAUAACUUCGGGAAACUGAAGCUAAUACCGGAUAAUGACGUAAGUCCAAAGAUUUAUCGCCAAGGGAUGAGCCCGCGUAGGAUUAGCUAGUUGGUGGGGUAAUGGCCUACCAAGGCAAAGACGCGUAGCUGGUCUGAGAGGAUGAUCAGCCACACUGGGACUGAGACACGGCCCAGACUCCUACGGGAGGCAGCAGUGGGGAAUAUUGGACAAUGGGCGCAAGCCUGAUCCAGCCACGCCGCGUGAGUGAUGAAGGCCUUCGGGUCGUAAAGCUCUUUUACCAGGGGAUGAUAAUGACAGUACCUGGAGAAUAAGCUCCGGCUAACUACGUGCAGCAGCCGC
rnacentral:rRNA from 1 species